rnacentral:rRNA from 1 species
GAUGAACGCUGGCGGCGUGCCUAAUACAUGCAAGUCGAGCGAACAGACGAGGAGCUUGCUCCUCUGACGUUAGCGGCGGACGGGUGAGUAACACGUGGAUAACCUACCUAUAAGACUGGGAUAACUUCGGGAAACCGGAGCUAAUACCGGAUAAUAUAUUGAACCGCAUGGUUCAAUAGUGAAAGACGGUUUUGCUGUCACUUAUAGAUGGAUCCGCGCCGCAUUAGCUAGUUGGUAAGGUAACGGCUUACCAAGGCAACGAUGCGUAGCCGACCUGAGAGGGUGAUCGGCCACACUGGAACUGAGACACGGUCCAGACUCCUACGGGAGGCAGCAGUAGGGAAUCUUCCGCAAAGGGCGAAAGCCUGACGGAGCAACGCCGCGUGAGUGAUGAAGGUCUUCGGAUCGUAAAACUCUGUUAUUAGGGAAGAAAAAAUGUGUAAGUAACUAUGCACGUCUUGACGGUACCUAAUCAGAAAGCCACGGCUAACUACGUG